rnacentral:rRNA from 1 species
AGAGCUAGCUUGCUAGAGCUCUUAGUGGCGAACGGGUGAGUAAUACAUAAGCAACCUACCUGCAGGGACCGGGAUAACGCUUGGAAACGAGUGCUAAAACCGGAUAGGUAAUAACGGGGCAUCCCGAUAUUAUUAAAGGAGAGAAACACAAGCAGAUGGGCUUAUGGUGCAUUAGUUAGUUGGUGAGGUAACGGCCCACCAAGACGAUGAUGCAUAGCCGGCCUGAGAGGGUGAACGGCCACAUUGGGACUGAGACACGGCCCAGACUCC